GAUGAACGCUGGCGGCGUGCCUAAUACAUGCAAGUCGAGCGAACAGACGAGGAGCUUGCUCCUCUGACGUUAGCGGCGGACGGGUGAGUAACACGUGGAUAACCUACCUAUAAGACUGGGAUAACUUCGGGAAACCGGAGCUAAUAGCGGAUAAUAUAUUGAACCGCAUGGUUCAAUAGUGAAAGACGGUUUUGCUGUCACUUAUAGAUGGAUCCGCGCCGCAUUAGCUAGUUGGUAAGGUAACGGCUUACCAAGGCGACGAUGCGUAGCCGACCUGAGAGGGGGAUCGGCCACACUGGAACUGGGACACCGUCCAGGCUCCUACGGGAGGCAGCAGUAGGGAAUCUUCCGCAAUGGGGGAAAGCCUGACGGAGCAACGCCGCGUGAGUGAUGAAGGUCUUCGGAUCGUAAAACUCUGUUAUUAGGGAAGAACAAAUGUGUACGUAACUAUGCACGUCUUGACGGUACCUAAUCAGAAAGCCACGGCUAACUACGUG
rnacentral:rRNA from 1 species